rnacentral:rRNA from 1 species
GGUUACCCGGUGAACUUAAGCAUAUCAAUAAGCGGACAGAAAAGAAACCAACAGGGAUUGCCUCAGUAACGGCGAGUGAAGCGGCAAGAGCUCAAAUUUGAAAGCUGGCCCUUCGGGGUCCGCGUUGUAAUUUGCAGAGGAUGCUUCGGGUGCAGCCCCCGUCUAAGUGCCCUGGAACGGGCCGUCAUAGAGGGUGAGAAUCCCGUCUGGGACGGGGUGUCUGCGUCCGUGUGAAGCUCCUUUGACGAGUCGAGUUGUUUGGGAAUGCAGCUCUAAAUGGGUGGUAAAUUUCAUCUAAAGCUAAAUACUGGCCGGAGACCGAUAGCGCACAAGUAGAGUGAUCGAAAGAUGAAAAGCACUUUGAAAAGAGAGUUAAACAGCACGUGAAAUUGUUGAAAGGGAAGCGUUUGCGACCAGACUCGCCCGCGGGGUUCAGCCGGCAUUCGUGCCGGUGUACUUCCCCGUGGGCGGGCCAGCGUCGGUUUGGGCGGCCGGUCAAAGGCCCUCGGAAUGUAUCACCUCUCGGGGUGUCUUAUAGCCGAGGGUGCAAUGCGGCCUGCCUGGACCGAGGAACGCGCUUCGGCUCGACGCUGGUUUAAUUUUCGGGGUGU